GACAGAGGGGGCAAGCGUUGCUCGGAAUUACUGGGCGUAAAGAGCGCGCAGGCGGUCGUUCAAGUCGCGUGUGAAAGCCCCCGGCUCAACUGGGGAGGGUCACGCGAUACUGAUCGACUCGAAGGCAGGAGAGGGUAGUGGAAUUCCCGGUGUAGUGGUGAAAUGCGUAGAUAUCAGGAGGAACACCAAUGGCGAAGGCAGCUCGCUGGGACGGUACUGACGCUGAGACGCGAAAGCGUGGGGAGCAAACAGG
rnacentral:rRNA from 1 species